UACGGAGGGUGCGAGCGUUGUCCGGAAUCACUGGGCGCAAAGGGCGCGUAGGUGGCGCGGGCAGUCAACGGUGAAAGUUCGGGGCUCAACCCUGAAUCGGCCGUCGAUACUCCCGGGCUUGAGCACUGUAGAGGCAGAUGGAAUCCGGGUGUAGCGGUGGAAUGCGUAGAGAUCCGGAGGAACACCGACGGCGCAGGCAGCGCCUGGCCGCUGCUGACACUGAGGCACGAAAGCUGGGGGAGCAAACAGG
rnacentral:rRNA from 1 species